GGCCGUGGGAGCAGUUUUUAAUGUGAGGCAAAGUCAGUCCACAAUACAAAAACCUAAAAAUCACACCCAGUCUCCCACCUGGCUCUGGGGAGGGAGGGAGCUGGGGGUUUCCUUUGCCUGCAGGGGGUGAGGAGGAGCAGAGGAGGGCCAGAGAAGGGGGAGAGGGAAACAGGCCACAGAGACCCGCCGGAGGGAUCCUGCUGCCUGCUUCCCUGUCCUGGAGCGGUCUCCUGUACCCUCUGCCCACGCACGCCUGUCAGUCCAUCCCCGCCUGGCUGGUCUGGCCCUGAGGGGGUCAGGUACCAGCUGCAUCAUUUCUCCUUCUUCUCUAGUCCCUUCGAUGUUGAUGCCUCUGUGGCCUCUUUGGAUUCUGUUGCUGCUGCUGGAUCCUUAGGAUUUGACUCCUCAUAACUGAUCAGAAAACAAGACAAAAAACAAACAAACAAACCACAUUCAGAGGAGGCAGAGACAGAACUCUGCUGCCCUUCCACCCAUUGCUCCUAGGAAGCCCUGGGCAUGCUUUGUGAGAAGAGGCCACCAUUACUUGGAGGAAAAAGGACAGAUGUACCUCUACGAGGACAAACUGCACAGCUGAGCAAAAGGACAAGGAUGCCCUGGUGGUGCGUGUGCUGCUGCUGUGGCAUCUCGCAGCCGCGGAGUGGACUGGUCUGGAUUCCCAACAGGGCUCCCUUGGCGUCUGUUCCACACUGCCUUCCUUAGGGCCAGGCAGCGCCGGGCCUGGUUUCCUUGCUGACCCAGGCUGGGAUCCUGGCUCCACUGCAUACGUACUCAGCCAUGCUGGUUCACUCUGGCAGCUCAGUACCCAGCAGCCAUCUUGGUGGAAGGAGGAAGAGCCUUGGCCAACUUGGGGAGAAGAUGGAGGGGAGGCCUCAGCACCUCAUUACCCAUCUGUGUGGACACCAGAGUGGACAUCCAACACCCACCCAAUCCCAUUCUUGUUUGUCUGCGUCCACUAAGAGCUUGAGAAGCACAAUCCUCUUCCCCACUCUCCUGCUCCCAGGGUGGCCAUGUGACACUGAUCUAUCUGACCCUUGAGAAGUGAGCAGAACUUUGCAGGUAGAGUGCCGGAAGAGUCCCUGCCUUCCUGAUCACGUGGGUAGCGUGCGGUGCGCUGCUUCUCCCUCCAUGCCGCCAGAGUGCAUGGGUUGCCCGGGGCACAGCUGCCAUCUUGCAACCACACGUGAAAGGCAAAAGAGUCACCAAGAGGAUGCCUCUGAUGCCGCAGCACCUGCCUCUGGACUGCCCCCCCUGUGGCAGAGAAGCCCUGGGGAAGUCUGGCUCACCUGGGCGUGCUUGAAGACGUGCAUGAUGAAGAUGGUGAGGCCCAGGCCGAAGAUGUAGGCGGCGAAGCUGGUGUAGAAGUAGGUGUGGGUGUCCUUCUUCAGGCUUCCAGGAGGGCAUGGGAAGAAAGGGGGUUAGCGCAGGAGUGGAGCAGCAGUACUCCCCAGGAGGGGGUUGGGGGAGGCCCUGUGGGUCGGGGCUGGUGGAGCUCUGGCUGCACUCCACCCGAGCUCCCAGCUACGUGUCUUUGAACCAGUCA